rnacentral:lncRNA from 1 species
GACGUGGAAGUCCUUGAGUCAGGGAAGGAUGACCCUAACUCUGAGAAGGAGGAUCUCCACCUUGAGUCAGAGAUAGCUCCUGUUGUAAACGUUGAGGGCUCUGAUCCAAGGGAUUCCGAGCUUCCUUCAGAUGUGACUGCAAGUAGAAAUAAUGUAGGCGAGGGUGUUCUUACUGAUGUAAGUCCUUUAAGGACUAUUUAUCCCCCCG